rnacentral:rRNA from 1 species
AGAGUUUGAUCCUGGCUCAGAACGAACGCUGGCGGCAGGCUUAACACAUGCAAGUCGAACGCACCGCAAGGUGAGUGGCAGACGGGUGAGUAACGCGUGGGAACCUUCCCUGUGGUACGGAAUAACUUCGGGAAACCGAAGCUAAUACCGUAUAUCCCCUCCGGGGGAAAGAUUUAUCGCCAUAGGAUGGGCCCGCGUUGGAUUAGCUAGUUGGUAGGGUAAUGGCCUACCAAGGCAACGAUCCAUAGUUGGUCUGAGAGGAUGAUCAGCCACGCUGGGACUGAGACACGGCCCAGACUCCUACGGGAGGCAGCAGUGGGGAAUAUUGGACAAUGGGCGCAAGCCUGAUCCAGCCAUGCCGCGUGAGUGAAGAAGGCCUUAGGGUUGUAAAACUCUUUUGGCGGG